AAGUCGUAACAAGGUUUCCGUAGGUGAACCUGCGGAAGGAUCAUUAUCGAGAGGGGCGUCGCUGGUCUUGGCAGAAACAUGCAAGUCCGUGGAGCCAAAAUCUACCCUCAACCCCUUGUGAACCUUGGUUGCCAGUGCGUGCUGCUGCUGGCGAGACAGCUUGGAAUGUAGAAAGUGGUCUCUGUUGGCAGCAGCUAAACCAUUGAGCAGUCAGUCCUUUUUUUUUCUCUCAACCUUGUUGUUUGCAAUGUCUAUUUCAAUCUAAAAGUGCAAACGUGAAUCUCGAUGUGUUCUAUUUUGAGCACGGGUACUCUUUUAUCUCGGCUCAAAAGCGAACCAUCGGAGGCACACUCAAUGCAUUAAGAUAACUUUCAGCAACGGAUCUCUUGGCUCUC
rnacentral:misc_RNA from 1 species